AACGAACGCUGGCGGCAUGCCUAACACAUGCAAGUCGAACAAGACCUUCGGGUCUAGUGGCGCACGGGUGCGUAACGCGUGGGAAUCUGCCCUUGGGUUCGGAAUAACAGUUAGAAAUGACUGCUAAUACCGGAUGAUGACGUAAGUCCAAAGAUUUAUCGCCCAAGGAUGAGCCCGCGUAGGAUUAGCUAGUUGGUAAGGUAAAGGCUUACCAAGGCGACGAUCCUUAGCUGGUCCGAGAGGAUGAUCAGCCACACUGGGACUGAGACACGGCCCAGACUCCUACGGGAGGCAGCAGUGGGGAAUAUUGGACAAUGGGCGAAAGCCUGAUCCAGCAAUGCCGCGUGAGUGAUGAAGGCCUUAGGGUUGUAAAGCUCUUUUACCAGGGAUGAUAAUGACAGUACCUGGAGAAUAAGCUCCGGCUAACUCCGUGCCAGCAGCCGCCGUAAUAC
rnacentral:rRNA from 1 species